rnacentral:rRNA from 1 species
CCUACGGGUGGCAGCAGUGAGGAAUAUUGGUCAAUGGGCGCGAGCCUGAACCAGCCAAGUCGCGUGAGGGAUGAAGGUUCUAUGGAUCGUAAACCUCUUUUAUAAGGGAAUAAAGUUUGGGACGUGUCCUCUUUUGUAUGUACCUUAUGAAUAAGGAUCGGCUAACUCCGUGCCAGCAGCCGCGGUAAUACGGAGGAUCCGAGCGUUAUCCGGAUUUAUUGGGUUUAAGGGGUGCGUAGGGGACUUGUUAAGUCAGGGGUGAAAGUCUGUGGCUCAACCAUAGAAUUGCCGUUGAAACUGGGGGGCUUGAGUAUGUUUGAGGCAGGCGGAAUGCGUGGUGUAGCGGUGAAAUGCUUAGAUAUCACGAAGAACCCCGAUUGCGAAGGCAGCCUGCCAAGCCAUGACUGACGCUGAUGCACGAAAGCGUGGGGAUCAAACAGGAUUAGAUACCCUUGUAGUC